UUAAUUCUUAUCCUCGUUCUCCAGGUGGACGCCUGACUUUUCAAUUCUUUAUCCUCAUUCUCCAGGUGGACGCCUGACUUCUUAAAUUCUCAUCCUCAUUCUCCAGGUGGACGCCUGAUUUCUUCAAUUCUCAUCCUCAUUCUCCAGGUGGACGCCUGACUUCUUCAAUUCUCAUCCUCAUUCUCCAGGUGGACGCCUGAUUUCUUCAAUUCUCAUCCUCAUUCUCCAGGUGGACGCCUGACUUCUUUAAUUCUUCAUCCUCAUUCUCCAGGUGGAUGCAUGACUUAUUUAAUUCUCAUCCUCAUUCUCCAGGUGGACGCCUGACUUCUUUAAUUCUUCAUCCUCAUUCUCCAGGUGGAUGCCUGACUUUUCAAUUCUUCAUCCUCUUUCUCCAGGUGGACGCCUGACUUCUUCAAUUCUCAUCCUCAUUCUCCAGGUGGACGCCUGACUUCUUUAAUUCUUAUCCUCAUUCUCCAGGUGGACGCCUGACUUCUUUAAUUCUCAUCCUCAUUCUCCAGGUGGACGCCUGACUUCUUCAAUUCUUCAUCCUCAUUCUCCAGGUGGACGCCUGACUUCUUUAAUUCUCAUCCUCAUUCUCCAGG
rnacentral:lncRNA from 1 species